GAUUUCUGGGUGACUGUGCUAGCCCGCUCCUUUCCGGGAGUGUGUGCCGGCAUACGUCAUUCAUCCUUCUAGAAGGCCUUGCCUGCCGUUCAUUCGGCUGGGCAUGUGCGGUCUAGAUCUUUUACUUUGAAUAAAUUAGAGUGUUUAAAGCAGGCUUACGCUAUGAAUACAUUAGCAUGGAAUAAUAAUAUAGGACUUUGGUUCUAUUUUGUUGGUUUCUAGGACUAGAGUAAUGAUUGAUAGGGAUAGUUGGGGGUGCUAGUAUUCAGCGGCCAGAGGUGAAAUUCUCGGAUUCGCUGAAGACUAACUUAUGCGAAAGCAUU
rnacentral:rRNA from 1 species